rnacentral:misc_RNA from 1 species
UCUAAGGAUGGUUCUUCAGCGAGCUCACGCUCACUAUCGAACCGUUUUAGAAACAUUCAGGGGCCAACAGUUUCAGGAUUGUUGAGCUCCAUUGGCGGGAUUUCGCCGUCUUCGUUUCUCUUUCUUCGCGGACGAACACGCGCCAGGGGCUGAGCGCUGUGCGGUGCACCGACUUCAGGUCGAGUGCGCGCCGGCAUGUCUCUCGUGUUAGGGGCUUGUAGCUCAGUUGGUUAGAGCGCGCGCUUGAUAAGCGUGAGGUCGGAAGUUCAAGUCUUCCCAGGCCCACCAUUUUGAUCGAGUGCGGAGCAUUCGUCUUCUGGUACGGGGCCAUAGCUCAGCUGGGAGAGCGCGUGCUUUGCAAGCAUGAGGUCGUCGGUUCGAUCCCGUCUGGCUCCACCAGAUGGAAUUGAAGCUCGAGAAUGCCUCGUUCAAUCGUUCGCGAAACAUCACUUCGCACUCAUUGGUCCGGAUGGACGGUGACGUGCGUGUUUUCUGACAUCGUAAAGAGGAGAUCGAUCCGAGUUUGGAUCAAGCGAAGCAAUUCGCCUGAGCCAUUCAUUAUCUCCGGGAUCAUUUCGGCGCUCGCUUUCAAUCGAGAGAUUGGACGCGGGUUGUAAAUGAUCCCUUUUAGCGAAGCUUGACCGCCUCGCUAUCGGGCCGAUCUUACGAAGCAAGCUGGUCUUUCUAGUCAAUGUCCGGCUGCGCAAUCGCAUUCAUCGAGGAUGCGCGCCUGGGACUUCGGUCCUUGGGCAGUUGUGCAGACAACAUUCUGCCGAGUGUGUGGACAUUGAUAAUGAGAGCAAUCAAGUGCCUUAAGGGUGUUCGGUGGAUGCCUUGGCGCUGAGAGGCGAUGAAGGACGUGCUACGCUGCGAUAAGCCGUGGGGAGCUGCGAAGAAGCUUUGAUCCGCGGAUUU